UACGUAGGGUGCAAGCGUUGUCCGGAAUUAUUGGGCGUAAAGAGCUCGUAGGCGGUUUGUCGCGUCGGCUGUGGAAACUCGGGGCUCAACCCCGAGCCUGCAGUCGAUACGGGUAGACUAGAGUGCUGUAGGGGAGACUGGAAUUCCUGGUGUAGCGGUGAAAUGCGCAGAUAUCAGGAGGAACACCGGUGGCGAAGGCGGGUCUCUGGGCAGUAACUGACGCUGAGGAGCGAAAGCGUGGGGAGCGAACAGG
rnacentral:rRNA from 1 species